rnacentral:lncRNA from 1 species
UUGAAAAUUAGGGUUUCAGAGAAGGAACCAUAGAGAAACGAGAAAGCCUGGAAUGGACUGAUUCUGAGUCGACAAUGGACUCACAGCACCAAGGCUUGCCGGAGAGAGACCGUACAAGGCCGUAGAACUCAAGUCGAAGGACCUCUGAGUCGAUAGUCUUCAAUAUAGGGCUUCGAUCUUCGAACAAAAGAGUCAUGGAAGGUAGGGAGAGGUGAGUACAGGUACUUUAAAGCUUGAGAAGCCAUAGUCGCCGGUGAAACGGGGCCGGAGAAGGGCUAGGGUUCAGAAGGGGUUGAGAGCAUUUUGGGGGUUGAGG